AAUAAAGUGCCUGAUAAAAAGGACUAUUCUGAUAGGAUAAAUUAUGUAGAAAAUCUACCUUUAUUA
rnacentral:tRNA from 1 species